rnacentral:rRNA from 1 species
AGAGUUUGAUCCUGGCUCAGAACAAACGCUGGCGGCGUGCCUAACACAUGCAAGUCGAACGAGAAAUCCCGAGCUUGCUUGGGAGAGUAAAGUGGCGCACGGGUGAGUAACGCGUGGGUAACCUACCUUUGAAUCUGGAAUAACCAGCCGAAAGGCUGACUAAUACCGGAUAUGAUUUUUUAGGCUUUGGUCUUUUAAAUUAAAGGUGACCUCUUCAUGAAAGUUGCCGUUCAUAGAUGGGCCCGCGUACCAUUAGCUAGUUGGUGGGGUAAUGGCCUACCAAGGCGACGAUGGUUAGCUGGUCUGAGAGGAUGAUCAGCCACACUGGAACUGGAACACGGUCCAGACUCCUACGGGAGGCAGCAGUGAGGAAUUUUGCGCAAUGGGGGAAACCCUGACGCAGCAACGCCGCGUGAGCGAAGAAGGCCCUCGGGUCGUAAAGCUCUGUCAAGUGGGAAAAAAAUCUUUUGAUCAAUAGUCAAAAGANGNGA